ensembl:lncRNA
GGCCAGCGACGCGGGGUCGCUGCGGGGCCCCGAAUUCCGCAGAUUAAGUAUACCGUGAAGUGCCCUAACGCUGCAGCACGCCAGGAAACGGCGGUGUCCUGAAGUACACGGUGAAGAGCAAGCACACUCUCUUUAGGAAAAGUACAAGCAUUUGUUCAGCCAGGUGUACCGAUGUGUGGUUGCCCAGAGGCCUGGGCGCGGCCCUCGUGUCUCCACGCAGCUCUGUGCGCUCCUGGGGCCAAGGCACCAAGGCAACAGGCGCCAGGCCAGCGCGGUCUCCACAACAAGCCGCAAGCCGCUGCCGAGCAGGGCCCCAUCCUGCCCCGCCCGCCCCGCGCCCACCUCUCUCCGGCCGGGCGCCGCGGCCGCACGCGCUCGCCCACCUGCCCACGACCUAUGCGGGCCUGAGGACCGAGGAAGGGGGCAGGCGGCCCCCAAAGCUCAGGGGGCGGGCCCGGCGCCGCCGCCCCUCGGCCUCCGAUCCCCGAGGGCGUCCGUGUGAACGGCCCCGCGCCCCUCCUCCGCUCUAAGACUCCGCAAGAUGAGCC